rnacentral:rRNA from 1 species
GGGGAAUAUUGCACAAUGGAGGAAACUCUGAUGCAGCGACGCCGCGUGAGUGAUGAAGUAUUUCGGUAUGUAAAGCUCUAUCAGCAGGGAAGAAGACGACGGUACCUGACUAAGAAGCCCCGGCUAACUACGUGCCAGCAGCCGCGGUAAUACGUAGGGGGCAAGCGUUAUCCGGAUUUACUGGGUGUAAAGGGAGCGUAGACGGUUAUGCAAGUCUGAAGUGAAAACCCGCGGCUCAACUGCGGGAUUGCUUUGGAAACUGUGUAACUAGAGUACCGGAGGGGUAAGCGGAAUUCCUGGUGUAGCGGUGAAAUGCGUAGAUAUCAGGAGGAACACCGGUGGCGAAGGCGGCUUACUGGACGGCAACUGACGUUGAGGCUCGAAAGCGUGGGGAGCAACCA